rnacentral:rRNA from 1 species
AUUGAACGCUGGCGGCAUGCCUUACACAUGCAAGUCGAACGGUAGCGGGCCUUCGGGUGCCGACGAGUGGCGAACGGGUGAGUAAUGCAUCGGAACGUGCCCAUGUCGUGGGGGAUAACGUAGCGAAAGCUACGCUAAUACCGCAUACGUCCUGAGGGAGAAAGCGGGGGAUCUUCGGACCUCGCGCGAUUGGAGCGGCCGAUGUCGGAUUAGCUAGUUGGUGGGGUAAAGGCCCACCAAGGCGACGAUCCGUAGCGGGUCUGAGAGGAUGAGCCGCCACACUGGGACUGAGACACGGCCCAGACUGCUACGGGAGGCAGCAGUGGGGAAUUUUGGACAAUGGGCGCAAGCCUGAUCCAGCCAUGCCGGGUGGGUGAAGAAGGCCUUCGGGUUGUAAAGCUCUUUCGGCCGGGAAGAAAUCGUGUUCUCUAACAUAGGACAUGGAUGACGGUACCGGACUAAGAAGCACCGGCUAACUACGUGCCAGCAGCCGCAGUAACAC